rnacentral:rRNA from 1 species
GUAGGUGGCAAGCGUUGUCCGGAAUUAUUGGGCGUAAAGCGCGCGCAGGCGGUUCUUUAAGUCUGAUGUGAAAGCCCACGGGCUCAACCGUGGAGGGUCAUUGGAAACUGGAGAACUUGAGUACAGAAGAGGAAAGCGGAAUUCCACGUGUAGCGGUGAAAUGCGUAGAGAUGUGGAGGAACACCAGUGGCGAAGGCGGCUUUCUGGUCUGUAACUGACGCUGAGGCGCGAAAGCGUGGGGAGCAAACAGGAUUAGAUACCCUGGUAGUCCACGCCGUAAACGAUGAGUGCUAAGUGUUAGGGGGUUUCCGCCCCUUAGUGCUGCAGCUAACGCAUUAAGCACUCCGCCUGGGGUGUACGGCCGCAAGGCUG